GACGAACGCUGGCGGCGUGCCUAAUACAUGCAGGUCGAACGCUUCUUUCCUCCCGAGUGCUUGCACUCAAUUGGAAAGAGGAGUGGCGGACGGGUGAGUAACACGUGGGUAACCUACCCAUCAGAGGGGGAUAACACUUGGAAACAGGUGCUAAUACCGCAUAACAGUUUAUGCCGCAUGGCAUAAGAGUGAAAGGCGCUUUCGGGUGUCGCUGAUGGAUGGACCCGCGGUGCAUUAGCUAGUUGGUGAGGUAACGGCUCACCAAGGCCACGAUGCAUAGCCGACCUGAGAGGGUGAUCGGCCACACUGGGACUGAGACACGGCCCAGACUCCUACGGGAGGCAGCAGUAGGGAAUCUUCGGCAAUGGACGAAAGUCUGACCGAGCAACGCCGCGUGAGUGAAGAAGGUUUUCGGAUCGUAAAACUCUGUUGUUAGAGAAGAACAAGGACGUUAGUAACUGAACGUCCCCUGACGGGAUCUAACCAGAAAGCCACGGCUAACUACGU
rnacentral:rRNA from 1 species